rnacentral:tRNA from 1 species
ACAUUGGUGGCUCAGUGGUAGAGUUCUCACUUUCUGUGUGGGAGACCCAUGUUCGAUUCCUGGCCAUUACA